GACGAACGCUGGUGGCGUGCUUAACACAUGCAAGUCGAACGGGAUUUAGUAAACAGAAGCCUCGGUGGAAGAUUACUAAUGAGAGUGGCGAACGGGUGAGUAACGCGUGAGCAACCUGCCUAUGACAGUGGGAUAGCCUCGGGAAACCGGGAUUAAUACCGCAUAAAAUCGUAGAAACACAUGUUUUAACGGUCAAAGAUUUGUCGGUCAUAGAUGGGCUCGCGUCUGAUUAGCUAGUUGGUGAGAUAACAGCCCACCAAGGCGACGAUCAGUAGCCGGUCUGAGAGGAUGAACGGCCACAUUGGAACUGAGACACGGUCCAAACUCCUACGGGAGGCAGCAGUGGGGAAUAUUGCACAAUGGGGGAAACCCUGAUGCAGCGACGCCGCGUGAACGAAGAAGGUAUUCGUAUCGUAAAGUUCUGUCCUAUGGGAAGAUAAUGACAGUACCAUAGAAGAAAGCUCCGGCUAAAUACGUG
rnacentral:rRNA from 1 species